ensembl:lncRNA
AUGGCAAGCCUUUCCCAGCCUUUCUCCACAGCUACUGACUUCAACUCCAUCACGCUUGGACACUGUAUUCGUGAUCCUCUUUUACUCUCCCUGACAAUGGCAGGCUAUAGAAAGAAGCAGAUAUGUGAAGGAAUCUGUCUGUCCUCUCAUCUGAGGGCAGCUUUGGUUGUCAGGCCAAGAAAAUGGCUGGCAUGGAUGUUGGAACUGGCAUGCUGCAGCCUUAGGUCUGUGCAUCUUCCUUCACCAAUAACCAGAGGGAAGCCUGAAGGAAGUUUACAGACCCAAGCCACCAAAUGUGAGGACCUUUCAGUGCAGGCUGGCUUGCAUAUCCAAAUCCUGAAGGACUCAUCAGCUGUUAGGAGAUUUACUGUAAAACCACAAGGAUUUGCAGUGGUUGUUGACCAGCCAUAUGCUCAGCUCAGUGCAGUGCCCUUUUGCACUUCUGACCAAGCUGCCUAUCUGUCCACUUUAAAGCUCUCCCUGCUGGCAAGAGUUUACAUUAGUUCAGCUACAGCAAGGACAUCACAUUUAUUCCAUAUUUGCCCUUUCCAGUAUUCACAAAUAAAAUUUGUCCAGUGUGAUAGAUGCAUUUGCUAGUGGUGCCUAAAAAACUCAUAACCAAGGAUGCAAUAAGCCAAGAUGAAAGCAAAUCUCCAAUCAACCCCAUGAACUACUAUAUGCUGAAGAAGUAUCCUGGAGAUUCAUUCUGCUAACAGAGCCCUGGCUUUUCUUCACCUUUUCAUUCACUUAAAUGGGGAGAACAGAAGAGCUGCUUAGCUGUUCACCUGAAAACAUCUAGAACCUAAAACCUCCGUACUUUGUAUUGGCAGUGAGAGUAAAAACCAUACACCCUCUUCAUCUUCUCCUUGGAGUGCAGCAUUGCAUCUCUGUCUGCAGACCUGGAGCACAUGGUUUGGUAAAGGCUGAGUGUGUAAGGGCUAAAGCACAGCAGUCAGUGGGUCUAUCCAUCCUAUUUUUAGUCAUGCACUCUGUACCUGAAGCACCCUUGGUUGGCUGCUGGUGGUGAGUAAAACCCAGAAAGCCAGUAACCUUUCUCAUGGCAUGCUCUCAUGGGUGAUGGAUGGGGUGAAGGGCACUUUGCAGGUUCCUGCUGUUACCCAAUAGCUUGUAAAGCCUCCAGAAGGAAAAGAAAGGCAAGGGGGAGGCUUUGCAGGAAGCUCAGAGCUCUGUCAUAUCGUUUAUUCCUGCCUAAUUGCCAAGGAUGUGAGGCAAUUGUUGACGAGGCUGCGAGAGAAGGGAAGUGCCCUUUCCCACCUUCUCAACCUGCUCGUGGUUGCAUAAGCCUCAAAGCGCAGAGCCUGAGGUUGCUAUGCCAACUUGCAUAGUUCCUCCCAUCCACCUCCCCGUCUGAGCAAUGCCGUGGGCCUGAAGGAGCAGGAGUCCAUCCUGAAACAGCAAACGAUAGGAUCAACUGGCAGCAGAGGCUCUGCUCCAUCAGUGGAGCAGACUGAAGGACUCCACGAGCUGUGUGUACCCAUGGCCCUUGUGCCACUGAUGAGACACUGCAUCAGAGCAACUGGUUUGCAGCACUUCUGCUUCAAUGUCCUGAGUGCUUUACCUUUGCUGCUGAAUUUGGUUUCAAGUCCUCAUUGACAGCACAGAGUCUGUGCUGCUACCCAUCAAAGGAAUCACAAGUUCAGCAUGAGUCUGUGUGUCUGCUUUCCCUUCUGUAGCAUUAAAAUAAAGUGCCUUUCAAAGGAACUGGGAAGGAAUCG